rnacentral:lncRNA from 1 species
GGGAAAAAAGCCUAAAAAUACCCCAUCUAAUAUUUAUUUGGAAGAUUAAUACCUGGUCUUUUUUGCUUGGAAUUUUAAUACUUCGUCUAAAUUUGAGUGUCAUUUAAAUGCCUGAAAUAUAUAUGUGUUGGCUCUUUAGUAAUCCGUGGUUAACCUCCGUUUAAGCUCUUAACGGAAUGACUAACUCGGGUUAGAAAUUAAACCCACAUGUUUAAUUAAGCCUCACUAAAGACACUGUUGUCCUUAGACAUUUCCCCCAAAUCGAAAAACCCUAAAUCGCAUUUCCCCCAAAUCGAACCCUAUUUCGAUAUUCUUCUUCUUCUUCUCUUCAACUUCUCAAUCGAUAUCUGGGCACUGUAAGGAAUCGAUGAUUUCAGUUGUUUGAUUACUUGCGGAUUCGUUGUUUCGUUGUUAGAUUGCAAGUGAAGAGAUGAGGUACGCAAUCGUCGAUUCAGUUUAUCAAAUUUUAGGUUUUUUGAGUUUUCUGGGUUGUGGAUAUUACGAUUUCUGUUGAAAUCGAACAACUCUAUAGGGAAAUUUACUUAUCUAAUCUGUUAAUUUUGUUGUUGUCCAGUGCUUUCGAUCAUCUCAAACUCAAUAUUCACUUCAGAGGAGAUGUCGUGGUGAAGGACGGUUUGUUCGACUACAUUGGAGGAGUGGAGGAGAAAGGUAUGUUGAUUGAUCCAGACCUAAUGACAUGGUCAANNN